UGCGCUCACGCAGCAGACUGUCUGUGUGUGCGCUCAGCAGACUGUCUGUGUGUGCGCUCAGCAGACUGUCUGUGUGUGCGCUCAGCAGACUGUCUGUGUGUGCGCUCAGCAGACUGUCUGUGUGUGCGCUCAGCAGACUGUCUGUGUGUGCGCUCAGCAGACUGUCUGUCUGUGCGCUCAGCAGACUGUCUGU